rnacentral:rRNA from 1 species
AACGAACGCUGGCGGCAUGCCUAACACAUGCAAGUCGAACGAGACCUUCGGGUCUAGUGGCGCACGGGUGCGUAACGCGUGGGAACCUGCCCUUAGGUUCGGAAUAACUCCCCGACAGGGGUGCUAAUACCGGAUAAUGUCUUCGGACCAAAGAUUUAUCGCCUUUGGAUGGGCCCGCGUUGGAUUAGCUAGUUGGUAGGGUAAAAGCCUACCAAGGCGACGAUCCAUAGCUGGUCUGAGAGGAUGAUCAGCCACACUGGGACUGAGACACGGCCCAGACUCCUACGGGAGGCAGCAGUGGGGAAUAGUGGACAAUGGGCGAAAGCCUGAUCCAGCAAUGCCGCGUGAGUGAUGAAGGCCUUAGGGUUGUAAAGCUCUUUUACCCGUGAUGAUAAUGACAGUACCGGGAGAAUAAGCUCCGGCUAACUCCGUG